UACGAAGGGUGCAAACGUUGCUCGGAAUCACUGGGCGUAAAGCGCACGUAGGCGGAUCUUUAAGUCAGGGGUGAAAUCCUGGAGCUCAACUCCAGAACUGCCUUUGAUACUGAGGAUCUUGAGUCCGGGAGAGGUGAGUGGAACUCCGAGUGUAGAGGUGAAAUUCGUAGAUAUUCGGAAGAACACCAGUGGCGAAGGCGGCUCACUGGCCCGGUACUGACGCUGAGGUGCGAAAGCGUGGGGAGCAAACAGGG
rnacentral:rRNA from 1 species